rnacentral:rRNA from 1 species
AGAGUUUGAUCAUGGCUCAGAAUGAACGUUGGCGGCGUGGAUUAGGCAUGCAAGUCGAGCGAACUCCGCAAGGGGUUAGCGGCAAACGGGGUAGGAAGGUGUCGGUGACGUACCCCAUGGACCGGAAUAGCCUCGGGAAACUGAGAGUAAUGCCGGAUAAUGUCCUGAGACGUGGUGUUUCAGGACCAAAGGUGUGAUUCCACCAAGGGAGCGGCUGACACGGUAUUAGCUAGUUGGUGAGGUAACGGCUCACCAAGGCGACGAUGCCUGGGGGGUGUUAGCGCAUGACCCCCACCACUGGGACUGAGAAACUGCCCAGACACCUACGGGUGGCUGCAGUCGAGAAUCUUCGGCAAUGGGCGAAAGCCUGACCGAGCGACGCCCCGUGUGGGAUGAAGGUCUUUGGAUUGUAAACCACUGUCAAAGGG